CCAGGACUCAGAUUCUAAUGGAGACUGAGGCAGUGGGAGGAUGGAUACUGGCGGGAAGAUCAGCUGCCCCAUUCCUCAUCAGGGAAGCCUGAGUAGAAAUUCUGGAUCCAGCACAGCCUUUGUGCCUCAGUCAGCCUCUGCUCUGCCCACUCUUGAUGUUGUCACUGUGCUCCGAGGCCAGUUCUGCUGUGGUCAGACUGUCUUGGGAUUCAGAGGGUAGAACCCAGGAGCCUGCUAAAGUGGAAACUGGGCCAUAACCAUGAUGAUUUUGGAUACUUUCUCAAUUGUAAAUGCUUAUUUUUUUCCUCAGUGAAGGCGUCUGCUAAAUAUUUAAGUGUGAUUUAAAUUUUAUAUUUUUCUUACACUUUGCAUUCAGAUAAAUUCAUAAACCAGGAAAAAAAAAAACAUUUUUCAGAGCACAUGAAUCAAGUUUGCAGUGGCCACAACUUACCUGAUGUCCCUGACGACACAGGGGCUGCUUUGCUACAGCUCCUUGGCUCUAGCCUGCUUUUUGUAUUAUAGACCCAGUGGCCAAGGUCUAGCUCUGUGCCAUACGUAGAGGAGGUGCACGAUGACAUUGCCAAAGAAGAAUGGGGGAGGGGAGGAAGGAAAGAGGGAGAAGAGUUGGAGGCCAUGCUGCAGAGAUGGAGAAAACAUGGCUCCCCUCCCCUCCAGAACUGGAGCCAUUAGGAAUGACCUUCCGAAGCACCAGUACAGUCUUCAGCAAACACUAGAUCAGGGAUGACCCUGAGGCUUCUCCUUGUGUCCCCUGCCCCCUAGUGGAUUGGAAAGGUCCCUGAAACUCUAUGUUAAGGAAUCUGGGAUCAGGGCUCAGCUGUGGAGCGAGGCAUAGAGCACAAGCGUGCAACCCCACCUCUGCACUGACCCAGCCCCUCGGUGCAGAGGCUGAGCUCUGGGCAUCUCUGAUUGUCCAGUGCCUCCUAAAGUUCAUAGUGGCACUUAAUUAAUAUUCAAUGAAUCAAUAGCAUAUAUUGUUUUCAACUUAUAUUUCCCUUUGAAAAAGUCUACAAUUGCUCUUAUUGUUUUUUUAAUGCCAAAUUAAAGCUGUAAAACU